CAUGGCUUUCGAUGUCUGUAGACAUGUCAUCAAUACGCCUGGCAAUUGUGUUAUCAGAGAGUGGGACUUUAGCUAUGUCUUUAACCGCAUCAGGCCCGAGCAUCUCGUUGACAAUGGCUUUACAGGCAGGGUAGUAUUAAUGUCUCUGCCACAGUGUGCGGGUCUUUUGAUUUAGCAACAAGUUCGGCGACUAGGUAACUAGCUUUGAGCGCUUUCUCAUUUACCUUUGUGGUUUUUCUCAUAAACGCCUGUUUCUCUGUGUUUACACGCAGGGGAACAAAAUAGUCUAUCGGCUUGUUUUGAAGCGGCGGGUGUGUCGUUUGGAGAUGGCGCUUAAGCUUGCUUGGCACCAUGGCGCUGUUGGAUAGCUUCUCGCCACACACCAGGCAUAACGGAAUAGGUGUCGUCUCAUCCCCGGUGAAAGUAAAUCCAAACAAAAGAUAGCUUUCACUAUAUUGCCUUGAGCUCACUGUCUUUGCUUUCUUCACUCAUACUAGGGCCUUCAUCCGGGUCAGAAUCUUCUCCAGGGCCCAGUUCGGAGUUUGCAGUUGUCCUUUUUAAAAACUUCUCAAUGACUGUCACCACGGCCUCUCAGGUAGAACCCUUCUGGAGAAACUGCUCCUUCAACAACAGCACGAGGAGCCAGAGGAAGCUGAGAGGCUCUGUUCCAGAAUAUUAGCCAUGGGUCUUCUCUUGCCUUUCACUGACUGCUUCAGACAACAGCUGGGAGCCAGCACUACACACAUCACUUCUGCUGGAUCAGCUAAUUUCCAAGGUGAACAGCUGUACACAUGGGCUGCUGUUAACCAGCCAUCUUUUUUCCUUGAUCCUCCUGAGGAGAAGCAACCGGGUAAUCCAAAAG